rnacentral:rRNA from 1 species
CCUACGGGCGGCAGCAGUGGGGAAUAUUGCGCAAUGGGCGAAAGCCUGACGCAGCGACGCCGCGUGAGGGAUGAAGGUCUUCGGAUCGUAAACCUCUGUCAGCAGGGAAGAACGGUCACUGUGCUAAUACGCAGUGAAUUGACGGUACCUGCAGAGGAAGCACCGGCUAACUCCGUGCCAGCAGCCGCGGUAAUACGGAGGGUGCAAGCGUUAAUCGGAAUUACUGGGCGUAAAGCGCUCGUAGGCGGUAUGUUAAGUCAAGGGUGAAAUCCCCGGGCUUAACGUGGGAAUUGCAUUUGAAACUGGUAAACUGGAGUGUGGUAGAGGAUAGUGGAAUUCCAGGUGUAGGAGUGAAAUCCGUAGAGAUGUGGAGGAAUACCAGUGGCGAAGGCGACCAUCUGGAACAUAACUGACGCUGAGGUGCGAAAGCGUGGGUAGCAAACAGGAUUAGAUACCCGAGUAGUC